rnacentral:rRNA from 1 species
UUCAAGAUAAUAAAGAGAUUAAUUGAGGAUGACUAGCCAAUGAUUAUAAAGGAGGUAUAAAUACCAAAUAUCCUAGCUAAUAAUUUCAAGCUUAGCUAAAUCUAGGAUUAUCCUAUGGGAAACCAAAAAUUUUUAAAUAAAUAAACAACCUUAUGAACUGAAACAUCUAAGUAAUAAGAGGAAAAAAAAUCAACUGAGAUUCUGCUAGUAGUGGUGAGCGAAAACAGAUAAGCCUGCCGGCAUAAAGCUGGCUAUAAUAUAUAAUUUAAUUAUGAAUAAUUAAUUUCUUCCCUGGUAUCAUAUAGAUGCUUUUGGGAUUAAUGAAAUUUCUGGAAGUGAAAUAUACCAAAGAGGGUGAUAGUCCCGUAAUAAUUAAAUUAUAAUUUGUUCGUUUAUCGUUUACGAUGGAAUUAAGAACAAAUAAUUAUGUUUCCUUGGUUUUAACCGGGAACAUGAUUUAUAAAAAAAAAGUAAGAUGGAAGAUAAUCUGUCUGAAUUAGGGGAACCAUCCUCUAAGGCUAAAUAUGAAUCAUUGAGCGAUAGUGAAUAGUACCGUGAGGGAAACGUUGAAAAGCAAGUAGAUAACUGGUGAAAUAGAUCCUGAAUCAAUAAUCUUAUAAGCAGUCGGAGUAUGAAACAAAUAAAAUAAUAUGACGACGUACCUUUUGCAUCAUGGGUCAGCGAGUUUAUAGGUAGUGCAAGUAAAAAAUUAAAAAUUUAUCUCCUGUAAAGGGGAUGGAAUAAUUAUAAUAAUACUUAGUGAAAGCGAUCAUAUAUUAUUGGCUUGGUUUAGACCGGCCUUUUAUAAUUUAUGAGGAAAGUACUAUAUAUAAGACCCGAAACCAGGUGAUCUUACCAUGGCCAGGUGUAAGACCGAACCAACUACUGUUGCAAUAGUACUGGAUGAGCUGUGGUAGGGAGUGAAAGGCUAAUCUUACCUGGAGAUAGCUGGUAUUCUGCGAAACCUAUUUAGGUAGGAUCUAUAUUUGAAUUAUAGCAAGUAGUGCUCUGCUUUUAGCAAUCCAUUUGUUAUUUAUGACAAAUGGGAUUGCAUUGAAAAAUGCAAUUUAUAUUUAAUGGGGGGAUUAUUAUGAUUCUAUCCACUGAAGGCAAUCAAACCAAUGGUUAUAAAUUCAAGAUAUAGGGUCAGACUAUGGGUGCUAAGGCCGAUAGUCGAAUGGGGAAGAGCCCAGAAUAGUAACUAAGGUCCCUAAAUAAAUACUAAGUGAAUAUAAGGUAGUGUCGUAUAGAAAACAUCCAUUAUGUAGGCUUGGAGGCAGCAAUCAUUUAGAGAAAGCGUAAAUGCUCAAUGGUCUUUUUUAAUAUAUGAUGCACCAAUAAUUUAACGGGUCUAAAGUAUUUUACCGAUGUUCUAUCUGCAAAAUAAUAUUAAUAGUAUACCUCUCUGAUUAUCAGUGUAGGUGGUUCCUAGUGAACCGUUAUAAAAAUUUGCUGGGUAGCAGAACAUACUAUAAAUGGAAUGAAGGGUAAUUUUUAAUUACCUUGACAUAAUAGUAGAGAUUAUGCUGACAUGAGUAACGCAAAAGCAUUAAAAUAUGCUUCACCGAAUGCCUAAGGGUUCCAUAGAAAAAUUAAAUUGCUAUGGGUUAAACGGUCUCUAAGAAUAUAAGCGAAAGCUUUGAUUGAUGAGGAAUUUAUUAUAAAUAUAUUUUAUAGAGAGUAAAUUAAUUAAGGCUCUAAAGAGUCCAAAAGAGUUUAAAGCUCUAGGAAUUGAUUUAUUCUUUUUAUUUAUACAGGAAAAAAUAAUAUAAAAUAUACCGUACUCUAAACCGACACUGGUAGGCAGGUAGAAUAUACUAAGGUGUUGAGAGAACUCUCCUGAAGGAACUAGGCAAAAUAACUCUGUAAUUUCGAAAGAAAGAGUGGCUAUUAAAUAAUAAUAUUAUUUGAUGGCUGGCACAUAAAUGUGAGGUACGACUGUUUACUAAAAACACAGCACUUUGCCAACAUAAUAAUGGAUGUAUAAAGUGUGAUACCUGCUCAAUGCCAAACGUAUAAAUUUUUUGGUUUCACGAUCAAAAAUCAAACAUUGGUCAAUAGCGGCUGUAACUAUGACAGUCCUAAGGUAGCGAAAUACCUAGUCGGAUAAUUGCCGACGUGCAUGAAUGGUUUAACGAUACUUCAACUGUCUCCAGGAGAGACUCAGUGAAAUUGAACUAACCGUGAUGAUGCGGUUUACCUACAGCUAGACACGAAGACCCUAUGAAGCUUUACUGUAGUUAAUUAUUGUUAAUUUUUUAUUAAGAUACAGCAAUAAGGUAGUUGAUUAAACAAAACUGAGAGCCCUUAACUUAAUAUAAAAUUAACUAAGAUAAUAUUCAAUCUUUAUAUUGCCCCUUCCUUGUACCUUUAGGUAAAGGUCUUGAAGGUCUUUGACAUUCAGGAUCUUAUAGGUUGAAAUAUAUAAAGUUUAUUGAAUAUUCUUCCUUGGUUUUACCAAGGACCUGGAAAAUUUUAUAAAAUAAUAUUUUAUAAAGGUUCCCCAAAGGGAAAAUGAUUAAUUGGCAGUUUACCUGGGGCGGGAUUCUCAUAAAUAGUAUCUGAGAAGUACAAAGGUUUGUUUAAAUUGGAUGGAAACCAAUGGGUUUAUGAUAACCUAAUUAAGCGUAAUGGUAUAAACAAGCUUAACUGUAAGACAAAAAAGUCGAACAGACGCGUAAGCGGGUCAUAGUGAUCCGAUAGUUUCAUUAUGGAAUGGCUAUCGCACAACUGAUAAAAGUUACUCUAGGGAUAACAGGCUAGUCACUGACGAGAGUCCAUAUUGACUCAGUGGUCCGGCACCUCGAUGUCGACUCAUCUUUUCCUGGGGGUUGUAGUUGCUCCCAAGGGUUCGACUGUUCGUCGAGUAAAAAGGUACGUGAGUUGGGUUUAAUACGAUGUGAAUCAGUAUUGAUUAUAUCUACUGUAGGAGUUAGAAUAAGAAUAGCAGUUUAUCUUAGUACGCAAGGACCAGAUUAAGUGCACCUAUGGUUUACCAGUUGUAUAACAUUAUAAAUAAAUGAAUGCAUGGCUGGAAAGCUAUGUGCAUAAAUGAUAACUACUGAAAGCAUAUAAGUAGGAAACAGAGCUAUGAAUUAUUCUUUUCCCUACAUCUUUUGGAUGUAAAGGAAUAAAAUUAGCAAUAGACUAUUGCUUUGAUAGGCUACCCAAUUAUUUUGAUUUAUCAAAAUAGGGAGUUAACUAUUUCAUUUUCUUUUAGAGGAUGUUAAAGUUAUCUAUGAGGUGUAAGAAUAGUAAUAUUUUAAGCCAUCUAGUACUAAAUAUUUAUAAUCUUGAAAA